ensembl:lncRNA
AAGGAAGAACACCUCUCAAGGAAGUGAUGGCAUCACCAUCCCUGGAGGCAUUCAAGAAGCAUGGAGAUCUGGCACUGAGGGACACAGUGGGGAUGGGCUGAUGGUCAGACUGGAUGAUCUCAGUGAUCUUUCCAGCUUUGAUUCAAUGAUUCCUGGGGAACAGAACCCCUAGCCAGUGGGGUGCCCCAACCCCAUGGGCAACAGGGGCAGGAGACUGUGGACAGAAGGGUGUUGGAAGAGAGAUGAGCUCCCCAGCCAAGCACUAUGGAGAGCAUGGAAUUAUGGAAUCAUUCAGGUUGGAAAAGAUCGCUAUCAUCGGGUCCAACCAUAGACCAUCUAGUCCAACUCAGCACACCCACAGGCAAUGCAUGGGUUUAAAGCUAGAGCUCCACAUCUCCACAGGAUGCAGCAUGUGAACAGGGAUGGCCUUGCCCCCAGAGGUGGGUGCUCAGCUGGACACCACUCGGGUCCUGCCCCAGCCAGCUGGGACCUUGGACAACAGUCAGAGGGCUCGUGCCCUUUGGUCCCCAUAGCACCCCAAGCAUCGCAGGGGUGGGCUCCGCAUGGCCACCAGUGUGGCUUUGUGUUGCCCAGCACGGGGGCCUCUGUCAGGGCGAGCCGCUGCCUUCCCUGCGACCGCCGUUGACGUUAUUCGGCUGGACAGAGGGAUGUCUAUGCGAAUCAUUUUCAACGCUAUUCCAUAUUCAUAACGGGCUAAAUAUAGGGGAGCAAAGUGGGACCUGGCGGGCAAAAAGCCCUCCCCGUGGUCAGCGCGGAUGACUUCUCUGCCAAGACGAGAUGCCAGCGCCAGCCCUGCCGUCCCCAUGGGCACCGUAAGCCAAAGUCCCACUGCCGGCAGCACUGGGAUGCGGAGCAGGUUUGGGGCCCCGCUCCUGAGGCCACCUCCCAAGGAUGUCUCAGCUGGCCUACUCAUUGCAAUGGGCAGGAAUCCACAGCGCGGCCCGGGAGGGGUCCACCAGCCCCUGGGGCGUGUUCUUCAUUAAGCGAGAAGGUUAAUGAUUGCAAUUAUGUAAAAGGCAAGCAGCUAAAUGAGUAUAAAUAAAGCUUUUUCUCGGGUGUGGUGUGGGGGCUGGCACGGGGCUCCCAAAGGAAAUGUCCUCUUGGGGAUGCAGCUGAAGCUGUUCCCGGCAUGAGCCACACCGAGAAGAAAUGCAGCAAGGAGUCAAAAAUAGCCCCAUGUUGUGAGAAAAGGCUCAGUGCUCACAGCCCCAGCAGAACUGGUGCUCACCAUCCUUAGAAAAAGCCAUAGCAAUAUGCAGUAACGUCAAACCCAGCCAACAGCACUUGCAGUAUUAUAGGUGACCUGAAAAUAAGUUGUUGUAAGCAGUAAGUGAUGGUUGGACUUGGUGAUGUUAGAGGUCCUUUCCAACCUUAAUGAUUCUAUUGCUCUAAAUCUGUCUCACACAACAAAAUCCAGAGGGGUUUUCUAUUCGUGGCCUUGGAUUAACAUAUUUUGGGCAACUGGUGUAAGAACAGGUAAGCGUGGCUCCUUCCAGCACAAAUCCAUCAACCCUCAUGCUGGGCCCAGCAUGUGCAUGGCAUGAGUUUGGUGACAAAAGUCCAGGACACGGUGGGCUCUCGUGCAAAAAAAAUAGAGAAAUUCAGGCACAAACACCCAAAUCUGUGCAGCCAAGCAGGGGAAAGGUGGAGAAUGGUGUCCAUGGGGCAAUAUAUGAGAACAUGGUUCUAGUAGAGAGGUUCAAUGCAGGGUCUGCUGGUGUCCUUGGACCAGCCCUAACUGACUGCCCCAUGGAAGGCUGUGCCCUCCAGCAUGGCUUCCCCUUGGGAGAAACUCAGUAAUAUUAUUUCCAUGGGGGGGGAAAAAAAAAAGAAAUAAAUUAAGAUGCUCUGUGACUCACGGAAAAGGCAAAAUAAAUGGCAGCCCCCACACUUGAAUAGAUACGUGGCUAUUUUAAUAGAUGAGGUAAUAAAUAAACCUGCUUGAGAUUUCUCAAGUUUUCAUUCAUUUUUGAUAGAGAGAAAUUAUUUCCUUUCCUCCACCCAAAAAAGAAAACUCAACGUUCCCAUUGGGAGCGCCCAGAUCCCCAGCUUCACCCCACUUACCCAAACCAGCUUUCCAGCCCCACUGCCUGCAGCCACCUCUCAAAACCAUUCCGAACCUGGGAUGGGAGCCUCCAAAACGCCUUUCAGCUCACCUUUAGGAUACAUUUAGUAACUCACCUUAAUAUUGAUGCCCCAUUGCUGCAGAAGGAAUUGCGGCUGUGGCCAGCGUAAUGAUAUCUUCAAUAUUAACAGUCUUCAUCUGUCAAAUCUCCCUGGCAUCCCAUUGGGAAGGGAGAGAGCUCCACUGCCCUCCAACGCUGCCCACUCCGUGGAGAGCAGCUGGGGAAAUCCACAGCUCCUUUUGGAGAGCAUCUGAGUGUUGGCUCAAGGCUGAGCCCUGCAGAGGAAUGGAGCUUAGGAAGGUGUCACAAGCAGGUGGCCAUGAGUAGGUGCCAUAAGAAAGCUCAUUUUGCUUAACCCCUUGCCCCCCUCCUGCCCAACUCACCGAGGUGGCUGCUGGCAUUGGCCAGACCUUACAGGACUGAUAGUUGGUGGCCAGAAGACCUGAGCAAAGAGGAUAACGUGACAGGAGCCCCUCCAGCUCCAUCCCGGUCCAUUUGGAGGCACACUUGCUGAACCCAUACAAAUCCUGAUCACCGUGGUGGCCCCAGAUCUACCUCUGCCCCAAAAGCCAACCCCUCACAAGACAAAAAGCUGUGCCUUUGUCCCCAUCAUCAGCCAGGAUGGUGCCACAAGGUAUCCCCAGCACCAGGUGGAGCCUGACCCACUGCUGCAGGCCCUGGGCAGGAGCUGCACGUCCUGGCACAGCUGCUUGCAUGGGGAAGGUGAAGUGAGAUAAGAGCUUUUUCUACUUUAUCCUUUGUGCUACAUGGGCCUUUUCCUCUGGGUAAGCACAAAGUCUGCCUCUUUCCUCACUGUUAUUAAAAGUCAGGGCUCCAAUCCCUUUGGGAGCAGGGAAGGCAGAUAAUCCCUUCUCCUCCUGACCUUAUUUCUCUCCUCACUUUGCAAGGUUAUUGCAACUCCCCAGCAGAGGCUGCCCUGCACAAUAUACUCCUUCCUCUCAAAAAAACAAAACCAACC